rnacentral:rRNA from 1 species
GAUGAACGCUGGCGGCGUGCCUAAUACAUGCAAGUCGAGCGAACAGACGAGGAGCUUGCUCCUCUGACGUUAGCGGCGGACGGGUGAGUAACACGUGGAUAACCUACCUAUAAGACUGGGAUAACUUCGGGAAACCGGAGCUACUACCGGAUAAUAUAUUGAACCGCAUGGUUCAAUAGUGAAAGACGGUUUUGCUGUCACUUAUAGAUGGAUCCGCGCCGCAUUAGCUAGUUGGUAAGGUAACGGCUUACCAAGGCGACGAUGCGUAGCCGACCUGAGAGGGUGAUCGGCCACACUGGAUCUGAGACACGGCCCAGACUCCGACGGGAGGCAGCAGUAGGGAAUCUUCCGCAAUGGGCGAAAGCCUGACGGAGCAACGCCGCGGGAGGGAUGAAGGUCUUCGGAUCGUAAAACUCUGUUAUUAGGGAAGAACAAAUGUGUAAGUAACCAUGCACGUCUUGACGGUACCUAAUCAGAAAGCCACGGCUAACUACGUG